GGGUCAGUAGGUUGGUCGUGCCACCGGUACGUACUGGGCUCACUGAUUCCUCCUUCCUGAAGAACCGUGAUGCCAUUAAUUUGGUGUUGCGGGGAAACAGGACUGUUACUUUGAAAAAAUUAGAGUGUUUAAAGCAAGCUAACGCUUGAAUACAUUAGCAUGGAAUAAUGAAAUAGGACGAUCGAUCCUAUUUUGUUGGUUUCUAGGAUUGACGUA
rnacentral:rRNA from 1 species